AUUGAACGCUAGCGGGAUGCCUUACACAUGCAAGUCGAACGGCAGCACGGACUUCGGUCUGGUGGCGAGUGGCGAGCGGGUGAGUAAUGUAUCGGAACGUGCCUAGUAGCGGGGGAUAACUACGCGAAAGCGUAGCUAAUACCGCAUACGCCCUACGGGGGAAAGCAGGGGAUCGCAAGACCUUGCACUAUUAGAGCGGCCGAUAUCGGAUUAGCUAGUUGGUGGGGUAACGGAUCACCAAGGCGACGAUCCGUAGCUGGUUUGAGAGGACGACCAGCCACACUGGGACUGAGACACGGCCCAGACUCCUACGGGAGGCAGCAGUGGGGAAUUUUGGACAAUGGGGGAAACCCUGAUCCAGCCAUCCCGCGUGUGCGAUGAAGGCCUUCGGGUUGUAAAGCACUUUUGGCAGGAAAGAAACGUUCCGGGUUAAUACCCCGGGAAACUGACGGUACCUGCAGAAUAAGCACCGGCUAACUACGUGCCAGCAGCCGCAGUAA
rnacentral:rRNA from 1 species